rnacentral:rRNA from 1 species
UUGCACAAUGGGCGCAAGCCUGAUGCAGCAACGCCGCGUGAGGGAUGACGGCCUUCGGGUUGUAAACCUCUUUUAGCAGGGAAGAAGCGAAAGUGACGGUACCUGCAGAAAAAGCGCCGGCUAAAUACGUGCCAGCAGCCGCGGUAAUACGUAGGGCGCAAGCGUUAUCCGGAAUUAUUGGGCGUAAAGAGCUCGUAGGCGGUCUGUCGCGUCUGCUGUGAAAACACGAGGCUCAACCUCGGGCCUGCAGUGGGUACGGGCAGACUAGAGUGCGGUAGGGGAGAUUGGAAUUCCUGGUGUAGCGGUGGAAUGCGCAGAUAUCAGGAGGAACACCGAUGGCGAAGGCAGAUCUCUGGGCCGUAACUGACGCUGAGGAGCGAAAGGGUGGGGAGCAAACAGGCUUAGAUACCCUGGUAGUCCACCCCGUAAACGUUGGGAACUAGUUGUGGGGUCCAUUCCACGGAUUCCGUGACGCAGCUAACGCAUUAAGUUCCCCGCCUGGGGAGUACGGCCGCAAGGCUAAAACUCAAAGGAAUUGACGGGGACCCGCACAAGCGGCGGAGCAUGCGGAUUAAUUCGAUGCAACGCGAAGAACCUUACCAAGGCUUGACAUAUAGAGGAAACGUCUGGAAACAGUCGCCCCGCAAGGUCUCUAUACAGGUGGUGCAUGGUUGUCGUCAGCUCGUGUCGUGAGAUGUUGGGUUAAGUCCCGCAACGAGCGCAACCCUCGUUCUAUGUUGCCAGCACGUAAUGGUGGGAACUCAUGGGAUACUGCCGGGGUCAACUCGGAGGAAGGUGGGGAUGACGUCAAAUCAUCAUGCCCCUUAUGUCUUGGGCUUCACGCAUGCUACAAUGGCCGGUACAAAGGGCUGCAAUACCGUGAGGUGGAGCGAAUCCCAAAAAGCCGGUCCCAGUUCGGAUUGAGGUCUGCAACUCGACCUCAUGAAGUCGGAGUCGCUAGUAAUCGCAGAUCAGCAACGCUGCGGUGAAUACGUUCCCGGGUCUUGUACACACCGCCCGUCAAGUCAUGAAAGUCGGUAACACCUGAAGCCGGUGGCCCAACCCUUGUGGAGGGAGC